rnacentral:rRNA from 1 species
GACGUAGGGCGCGAGCGUUGUCCGGAUUUAUUGGGCGUAAAGAGCUCGUAGGCGGCUUGUCGCGUCGACUGUGAAAUCCCGCGGCUCAACUGCGGGUCUGCAGUCGAUACGGGCAGGCUAGAGUUCGGUAGGGGAGACUGGAAUUCCUGGUGUAGCGGUGAAAUGCGCAGAUAUCAGGAGGAACACCGGUGGUGUAGACGGCUUUCUGGACCGACACUGACGCUGGAGACACGGAAAAGCCGUGGGUAGCAAACAGG